UAUUCCCGUACUUGGUGUUACUGCGAAGGGGGGACGGAGAAGGCUAUGUUGGCCGGGCGACGGUUGUCCCGGUUUAAGCGUGUAGGUGUGUGUUCCAGGUAAAUCCGGUUCACUUUAACACUGAGGCGUGACGACGAGGCACUACGGUGCUGAAGCAACAAAUGCCCUGCUUCCAGGAAAAGCCUCUAAGCAUCAGGUAACAUCAAAUCGUACCCCAAACCGACACAGGUGGUCAGGUAGAGAAUACCAAGGCGCUUGAGAGAACUCGGGUGAAGGAACUAGGCAAAAUGGUGCCGUAACUUCGGGAGAAGGCACGCUGACACGUAGGUGAAGUGAUUUACUCAUGGAGCUGAAGUCAGUCGAAGAUACCAGCUGGCUGCAACUGUUUAUUAAAAACACAGCACUGUGCAAACACGAAAGUGGACGUAUACGGUGUGACGCCUGCCCGGUGCCGGAAGGUUAAUUGAUGGGGUCAGCGCAAGCGAAGCUCCUGAUCGAAGCCCCGGUAAACGGCGGCCGUAACUAUAACGGUCCUAAGGUAGCGAAAUUCCUUGUCGGGUAAGUUCCGACCUGCACGAAUGGCGUAAUGAUGGCCAGGCUGUCUCCACCCGAGACUCAGUGAAAUUGAACUCGCUGUGAAGAUGCAGUGUACCCGCGGCAAGACGGAAAGACCCCGUGAACCUUUACUAUAGCUUGACACUGAACAUUGAGCCUUGAUGUGUAGGAUAGGUGGGAGGCUUUGAAGUGUGGACGCCAGUCUGCAUGGAGCCGACCUUGAAAUACCACCCUUUAAUGUUUGAUGUUCUAACGUGGACCCGUAAUCCGGGUUGCGGACAGUGUCUGGUGGGUAGUUUGACUGGGGCGGUCUCCUCCUAAAGAGUAACGGAGGAGCACGAAGGUUGGCUAAUCCUGGUCGGACAUCAGGAGGUUAGUGCAAUGGCAUAAGCCAGCUUGACUGCGAGCGUGACGGCGCGAGCAGGUGCGAAAGCAGGUCAUAGUGAUCCGGUGGUUCUGAAUGGAAGGGCCAUCGCUCAACGGAUAAAAGGUACUCCGGGGAUAACAGGCUGAUACCGCCCAAGAGUUCAUAUCGACGGCGGUGUUUGGCACCUCGAUGUCGGCUCAUCACAUCCUGGGGCUGAAGUAGGUCCCAAGGGUAUGGCUGUUCGCCAUUUAAAGUGGUACGCGAGCUGGGUUUAGAACGUCGUGAGACAGUUCGGUCCCUAUCUGCCGUGGGCGCUGGAGAACUGAGGGGGGCUGCUCCUAGUACGAGAGGACCGGAGUGGACGCAUCACUGGUGUUCGGGUUGUCAUGCCAAUGGCACUGCCCGGUAGCUAAAUGCGGAAGAGAUAAGUGCUGAAAGCAUCUAAGCACGAAACUUGCCCCGA
rnacentral:rRNA from 1 species